CCAGUAAAGCAGAUGACAGAGGCAGGAAGGUCUCCUUGGGGCACCUCAGGGAGCCAGGGAUGCGGAGACAGGCGUCCAGGUCACCAGGGAAAUGACCAUAUGGCUACCCCUGUUAAUCUGGGACUGGAGAGCCAGAGGCUCAGGGCUCAUCUGCUUUAACUGAACAGCUGUGUUUCUACAGUGAAGAAAAGCUCCUCCAUUCAAGGAUCCCAGGAUGAAUUACCCCUCUGGACGCGAUCCAGAAUACCACACGGAGAUUGAAUCAAUGUGUCUCCUUAGUCUUCACUAGUCUGCGACGGGUUUUGAGUCUUUCCUUGUUCUCCAUGACCUUGACAAUCUGGAGUGUUGGCCAGGCAUCCUGCAGGACAUGCCCCAGUCUGGGUUUAUCUGACAUUCAGCUUGUGAUUGGACCGGGGACAUGGGGUUUGGGUGCUAUCGGGCUUCUCCAUAGAAAUCUACUGUUUGGGGGCACCCAGGUGGCGCAGGCAGUUAAGCGUCUGCCUUCGGCUCGGGUCCUGGGAUCGAGUGCCGCGUCUCUCCC